rnacentral:rRNA from 1 species
CCUACGGGUGGCAGCAGUGAGGAAUAUUGGUCAAUGGACGAGAGUCUGAACCAGCCAAGUAGCGUGAAGGAUGACUGCCCUAUGGGUUGUAAACUUCUUUUAUAAAGGAAUAAAACGAGGCUCGUGUGCCUUUUGCAUGUACUUUAUGAAUAAGGAUCGGCUAACUCCGUGCCAGCAGCCGCGGUAAUACGGAGGAUCCGAGCGUUAUCCGGAUUUAUUGGGUUUAAAGGGAGCGUAGAUGGGUUGUUAAGUCAGUUGUGAAAGUGUGCGGCUCAACCGUAAAAUUGCAAUUGAUACUGGCAGUCUUGAGUACAGGUGAGGUAGGCGGAAUUCGUGGUGUAGCGGUGAAAUGCUUAGAUAUCACGAAGAACCCCGAUUGCGAAGGCAGCUUACUAAACUGUGACUGACAUUGAUGCUCGAAAGUGUGGGUAUCAAACAGGAUUAGAUACCCGUGUAGUC